UUUGUUUUUUAACAAAAUACUUAAUUGUACUUUCUGAAAUUAAAGGAAUACAGAGUAUGUUUGGCAGACGAAAUUCGACGUCAGACCAACGUUGGUCUGUGGUUAGAUUGUUGGAUAAAGGUCGGUAAGGGGUCGGCGUCAAAAUGCCAACGUUUUUCCAACGUCAGCUCCACGUUGGUCUUUAGCUUAUUCCCAAACAGCUUUUUGAGCAUGACUGGGAACACUGUGUGUGUGUGUGUGUGUGUGUGUGUGUGUGUGUGUGUGUGUGUGUGUGUGUGUGUGUGUGUGUGUGUGCGUGUGUGAGUUUACGGGAAACACUCACAAACACACACAAAGACCCACAGACAGACACAUAGGGCACAGAAUACAACACACACACACACACACACAUUUUUAUUAGAGCAGCGAACACACUCACUCACAGCAGCUUGCCGUGGUCCAGUCCUGUUCCAAAACUGGUGCGCGCAUUUUUUGGGUAGGUGUGUGCGUGCGCGUACAGAACACUACACCUUUCUCGGGGUAGCGACUUGAACCCGAGUUUGGGCAUAACAACGUUGAGCAACUUUGAGAAAUAAGUGAACAGAGUGAAUAUAAAUAUACGACGCAGCUUAAACUGUCACAAAGAUCAACGUUUAAACUAUUUAUUUAUUAUUAUAAGUUAGGUUAUUAGUAAACUGUUUAUUUGUCAGUAACAAUUUUAAAGAUUUUACAAUUUAAUUUAAUUUAUUAAUAUAGGAUUUCUGUAUUUUAAAACCUGCACAUUCAAAAAAAGUUGGAACAAUAAAGCAUUGACUAAUAUUUAAAGACACAUUUACACAAUACAUUUAAGCACUGCGGAAACCAAGUGAUGAAAUGUUUCAAGUGUUAUUUUGUCUAAUUCUUCCUGCAAAUAUGUAUUGUGUUUCAGAAUCCUCCACAUAUUCAGCAUGUGAAUAUUGUAAAAAGGUUUCCGAUUUCAUUCAAAAAGAUAAACUAUGGCUUAUUAUUAUAGCUCACUAAACAAAUGAAACCCUUCAUAAAUGUUGCUGCUGAUAGACCUUAACUUUUUAUCUCUAAUUAUUAUAUAUAUUCAUAUAUAAUUCCCAAAUAUGCAGUUUUAACGCAUAUUUUUAUUUAUGUUUAACUCAAUCAUUCAAACCAUUUUUUUUACAUCUUUCAAAACAUAAAAAUUAUCUAAACAACUUCCACCAACCCUAAGCAUCGAGCCAUCAGUUACAAAAAAGGGAAGAAGAAAAAAUAUGGAAUGUUAUGAUAAUACAUUUUUAUAUUAAUAAAUAAUAUAUAAUAUAUUAUUUAAUAAAUAAUAAAUAAUACUUAUAAUAAUAAUCAUAAUGAAUUGUAGUUUUACUUAUGUUCAAAAUGUACCAGGCCGGCGCGAGACUGCUGUGUUGUUCUGUGUUUCGGCACGCGAGCCGCACGCGCGUGUGCCAGCGCAAGCUGCACGCGCGUGUACCAGCGCAAGCCGCUGUACUGCACUGAGAAAUAAUAAAGAAUGCUGACGUUCUGAAGCGCGUGGUCAUUUCACUUAGGGAAAAACGACCGUUGAUUCAGGCUCAUUUGUGUAUAUUUAAAUUACAGCUGAAGCUGAAUACGCCUAAACGCAGUCCUAUAAACAUAACACAGCGGGACAAGAGCAUAUUAAGACAAUAUUUUUUGAUCUACGCUCAAGAAAGGUAAAAUGCUGAUUUGUAUUUAUAUAUUCACUAUGUAAUACCAUUUCCGUUUUAAAAUGACACUGCACUGCUUGCAGUGAGUUUUAUUCAUAGGUUGACAGUCAGAACUGGUAGAAUGGAUUUAAUCUAAAAAUUGUUUUGUGUAUAAUAAUCAAGUCUUAGGUUUUCAAUUGAGAAAAAAAUAUAAUCUAUGACAAGCGUUAAUCCCUGCCCAUCUGAUAAUUAAUUAUAGAAUUUUUUGUCUAAGGUCUCUUGCUGUGAUAUGGUGUGUGGUAAAAUGUGGAGUAUUUAGCUAAAGUUUGCUACAAAUGUCUCAAUGCAAAAUACUUUCAGAAAGGUCCCUCAGGCGCCUUGUUAAAAAAAACACUGAUGUUGCCAUCAAUAAUUUGUUACAACAAGAAAGUGACAGUGAUAAUGUUUCAAUGGAUGAUGAGUCUUCUGAAUGUAAUGAUUGUCGGCAGUUUAACACUGAUUCUAUUGCUGAUGAGGAAAAUGCGUUACUUGCUUUCAGUAUGCCAGAAGAAAGUUUUGAUGUUGAUGUAGAAAUAUGUGAUGACUGGGAAGAGGGUCAAGAUGACCAUCCUUGUGACAGUUUACAAGCUGAUCUCAGGGCAUGGGCAGUUUCAAGUAAUGUCCCACUUAAUCACUUGUCCAGCCUUUUGGUAGUGCUUAGAAAACACUUGCCAGAAUCAAACCUUCCUAGAGAUGGUCGCACAUUACUGUCAACCCCAACUUCUACUGAUGUACAAGAAAAAGCUGGUGGAAUAAUGCACUAUUUUGGAGUUGAAAGUUGUAUAAAAUCAAGAUUGACAUCAAAUCCAACAUUACUUGCACAUCCCUGUCUUCACCUCCAAAUCAACAUUGAUGGCAUGCCUCUCUUUAAGAGCACAAAUGAGCAGUUUUGGCCACUGUUAGGAUUAAUUGAGGAAGAAGAGGAAAAAACUCCUUUUCUUAUUGGUCUGUUUGUUGGCUAUUCAAAACCCACAGAUGCAAAUGAAUAUAUUUCCGAUUUUGUGGAGGAGAUGAGCAGGAUUGCUAGUGAUGGUAUUCUGUUUGAGGAUCAGGUUUUGUGUGUUGCCAUUUCAGCCUUUAUUUGUGAUGCUCCUGCAAGAGCGUUUAUUAAGAAUGUGAAGUCUCACAAUGCUUAUCAUGGGUGUGAGAGGUGUGUGCAGGAAGGUGUGUGGACUAAUUCUAGAAUGACAUUUCCAGAGGUUGAUGCAGCUCACAGAACAGAUGAAAGUUUCAAAACACAGCAGGACAUGGACCAUCAUAAGGAUGGUGAGAGUGCACUCCUCAGAUUAAACAUGGGAAUGGUGUCACAGUUUGUGCUAGAUUUUAUGCACCUUGUGUGCUUGGGGGUAGUGAGAAAGUUGCUGUGGUUUUGGAUGCGAGGUCCUCUUCCUACCAGGAUUGGAAGGCAAGCAGUUAACGUAGUCUCUCAGAGAAUUUGUAGCUUUGGGAAGGUUCUGCCAUUAGAGUUUGGAAGAAAGGGAAGAUCACUGUGUGAGGUAGAUCGCUGGAAGGCUACAGAAUUCCGCACUUUUCUGAUGUACACAGGUCCUAUAGCCCUGAAAGAUAAACUGUCUGAUGUGAUGUACCACAAUUUUCUUCUCCUGCAUGUUGCAAUAACUAUUCUCUGUAGCCCAUCACUAUCCUCCACAUACUGUGAUUAUGCAGAGGAGUUGCUGGUUGUUUUUGUUAGGAAUUUUACAGCCAUUUAUGGUGAUUUUGUUGUGUACAAUAUCCAUGGGUUAGUUCAUCUUGCAGAUGAUGUGAGAAAAUUUGGACCGCUGCCACAUUUCUCUGCCUUUCCUUUUGAGAAUUUCCUUUAUAAAAUGAAAAGAAAAAUCAGAAAACCCAGCAAAUGCUUACAGCAGAUAGUGAGAAGAUUAUCAGAGGAACAAAGUGUCACAAAAGCAAAUGAAAAUAAAGCUGGACUUGGAGGUGAACAUUUUGAGAUGCUACCAAUUUCACUUCACUCUGCUCAUACAGAUCACUCUCACGUAAAACAGUUCUCCUGGUAUGCUACCAAUAAAUUCACUGUGUCUUUGGACAAUGCAAACAAUGCUGUUCUUGUAGAUCACUCUACCUUCAAAAUUGAGAAUAUUGUUUUAAUUGAUGGCUGUACAUACUUUGUUUCAAAAAAAUUCCAAUACAAAAGCACAUUUUUCACAUAUCCAGUUGAUUCUCUGCUGCUUGAUAUAUCAUUUGUAAGAGACCUGUGCGACGAAAUAAUUCUUUUGUCUGAAAGAGACAUUCAAACUAAGGUGGUUCUGCUUCCAUAUAAGGAUGGGUUUGUGUCAUACCCUUUAAAUCAUUUACAGUAGACAGGCAUACAUGUAUUCAGCAUAGUUUUGUAUAGGGGUGGGACAAUACCUUCAUGUAUAAAUAUCAUAUAGUUUCAUCCAAUACAUAUUGGCUUGUGUUUACGACCAAUUCACAGCCGUGAUGAAAUUUACAAAAUACAUUGAUUACAAGUUUGUUAUUUAGUGUGAUUAUUUUUGUUACUUUUUUUUUCAUUUGACAGUGAUGUAUUUUAGCCAAUAUGGAAUCUGCAAUGGGGAUAUUAUGUCAUUUAAUUUAUGGAUAUUAACUUAAAAAAAGAACAUUUGCACACAAACGCACAGUGUACAGAAUUUGUAGUUUCUUAGCUAAUGUUUUUUUUUUUCCUAAGAAUGUUUGCAGUCGUUGUUUUCACUGAAAAAAACGAAGUAGAAGUGGUUCCAAGCUGUUGGUUGAGUGUAGACCAAAAAAUAUCGUUCUGGCCACCCUUUAAAAAACAAAAUCGAGUGAAGACAGCAGUGGUAAACAGAGAAGAACCAGAUGAAAACUGGGGUGAAUACCUUGUAAAGGUAUUGAAAAUAUAUGGUAUGUGACUACUUACUUACUUACUGCACAUCACUCCAAAAGUUCAAAGUUCAGUUGUUCAUAGCUUGACCCUUAACCCUUUCAAUGUAAUUAUUGUUAUUAUAUUCUAUAUGUAGACACCUAUGAAAUGGCGAGAAAAAAACUGGUAAAGGCAACAAAAAGGGAUACUCUUACAACAUCGGAGGAGGAAAGCUCAGGAAGGCACAGAACACCAUCAGCGAAAAUAAUAGAAAGCAUGGAGUCAAACUGGCAACCUGAACCUAGCUAUGCGUCAAACAAAGUACUGGUAUCUCCACCGCAACUGGUAUCCCCACCGCACCUGGUAUCCCCACCACAACUCCUCUCUAAACCUGUCGCACUCUCUAAAUCUGCCCCAAUCUUUCGUCAGGCCCCACUCUCCCAGCCGGCAAGACCAGCAUCAGUUCAAGAUAGGGAUUACAUGAUUUUUCGGGCUCUUGAGGAGAUCAAAGCACAAGUGCGACAAAACACACUUCUCCUUCAGGCCUUAUCGAAGAGGCAACCUGUGGAAAAUGUGGACGGACUCUCAAUGGAUUUCAGAUUUCCUCUGACAAGUCCUGAGGACAUCAGAAGAGUAGAGGGCCUCCUUAAAGAUCAGGGACAGGAGAAAGCCCUGAAACUGUACCUUGCAAGCUUUGGUGGUUCAAGACCGACAGACAUAAUUCGGCGGGUAAUGAGCCAUGUCAUGACUGACAGCUUUGCUGUGACAUACAACUGGAUGGGAAGAGGAGAUAAGCAAGCUUUCUCUCAACUUAAAUUGACAACUGUUAUUAAAGCUGCAGCAAAAACACACCAAAUUACUGAGGCAGAAAGUGAGGCCUGCAUAAAGAACUGGCUGAAGUACAGUGGGGAUCGAAGUGGAGGAAGAAAAAGGAGAGCAGAAAGGAUGCAAGAUUGUCCAAAGAGAUCCCGUUCUACAAUUUUGAGUUCCUCCGAUUCAGAUGACUGACACCACGUCCCUAGUUUUUUAUUCUGUUUAAUUUUUUUUUGUUUCCUUCUAAAUACAUGACAUGUUAAACAAAAAUACAAAAUGCAUAAUCUGUUUUUAAUAAAUUAUUUUUGAAAUCA